AAUAGUUAGAGAGAACAGAAAAACACUCUAUGUUUAGACUGCUCAGUAGUAAAGCUACCAACUCUAGCAGAGAAAUAAGAUAUGUUCCAGGUCGACAGGACUGAUCCGGGAGCAAGUAGACAUGGAAGAUGUGUUUGACUGAUCCGGGAGCAAGUAGACAUGGAAGAUGUGUUUGACUGAUCCGGAAGCAAGUAGACAUGGCAGAUGUGUUUGACUGAUCCGGGAGCAAGUAGACAUGGAAGAUGUGUUUGACUGAUCCGGGAGCAAGUAGACAUGGAAGAUGUGUUUGACUGAUCCGGGAGCAAGUAGACAUGGAAGAUGUGUUUGACUGAUCCGGGAGCAAGUAGACAUGGAAGAUGUGUUUGACUGAUCCGGGAGCAAGUAGACAUGGAAGAUGUGUUUGACUGAUCAGGGAGCAAGUAGACAUGGAAGAUGUGUUUGACUGAUCCGGGAGCAAGUAGACAUGGAAGAUGUGUUUGACUGAUCCGGGAUCAAGUAGACAUGGAAGAUGUGUUUGACUGAUCCGGGAGCAAGUAGACAUGGAAGAUGUGUUUGACUGAUCCGGGAGCAAGUAGACAUGGAAGAUGUGUUUGACUGACCGGGAGCAAGUAGACAUGGAAGAUGUGUUUGACUGAUCCGGGAGCAAGUAGACAUGGAAGGUGUGUUUGACUGAUCCGGGAGCAAGUAGACAUGGAAGAUGUGUUUGACUGAUCCGGGAGCAAGUAGACAUGGAAGAUGUGUUUGACUGAUCCGGGAGCAAGUAGACAUGGAAAAUGUGUUUGACUGAUCCUGGAGCAAGUAGACAUGGAAGAUGUGUUUGACUGAUCAGGGAGCAAGUAGACAUGGAAGAUGUGUUUGACUGAUCCGGG
rnacentral:lncRNA from 1 species